AUUGAACGCUGGCGGCAGGCCUAACACAUGCAAGUCGAACGAGUGGCGGACGGGUGAGUAAUGUCUGGGAAACUGCCUGAUGGAGGGGGAUAACUACUGGAAACGGUAGCUAAUACCGCAUACCAUCGGAUGUGCCCAGAUUGGAUUAGCUAGUAGGGGGGGUAAAGGCUCACCUAGGCGACGAUCCCUAGCUGGUCUGAUAGGAUGACCAGCCACACUGGAAAUGAGAUACGGGCAAGACUCCUACGGGAGGCAGCAGUGGGGAAUAUGGCACAAUGGGCGCAAGCCGGAUGCAGCCAUGCCGCGUGUAUGAAGAAGGCCUUCGGGUUGUAAAGUACUUUCAGCGGGGAGGCGUUACCCGCAGAAGAAGCACCGGCUAACGCCGUGCCAGCAGCCGCGGUAAUUC
rnacentral:rRNA from 1 species